UACGUAGGGUGCGAGCGUUGUCCGGAAUUAUUGGGCGUAAAGAGCUCGUAGGCGGUCUGUCGCGUCGAUCGUGAAAACUUGGGGCUUAACCCUGAGCUUGCGGUCGAUACGGGCAUGACUGGAGUUCGGCAGGGGAGACUGGAAUUCCUGGUGUAGCGGUGAAAUGCGCAGAUAUCAGGAGGAACACCGGUGGCGAAGGCGGGUCUCUGGGCCGAUACUGACGCUGAGGAGCGAAAGCGUGAGGAGCGAACAGG
rnacentral:rRNA from 1 species